rnacentral:misc_RNA from 1 species
ACAGAAGGUCAACCAUUAAAUGAAACAUACAAUGAAGAUCUGUUUUGGGUGUAAAACAACUGAGAAUGAGGUUGGAAUUACCGGACGGGAAACCUGGAACGUCGUGAUCAUUUCCCUGAGUUUUUUCGCUGUGUUUACUGCCUACACUGCUCUACAGAAUCUCCAGAGUAGUUAGAACCAAGACGACGGGCUAGGAAUAACAUCGCUGUCGUGUCUCUAUGCAUUUGUCAUCGUAUCCGCCAUCUUAGCUCCCUGGAUGAUAAAGACGCUUGGAAUUAAGAUUUCUUUGCUUAUUUCCUGGGUAUCACAUAUUCUGUACACGUGUAGCAAUAUCUAUCCAACAUUUGCAACCUUGAUACCGACAUCCAUUCUACUGGGACUAAUAUCCGGGCUACUGUGGACGUCACAGGGAGUCUUUAUUUCGACAAAUGCAUACUCUAUCAGUGAACACAACAAGGCGGAAAUCCACGCCACUCUCAGUCGUUUGAAUGGAAUUUUCUUCACCUUCUUCGAACUUACACAGAUAACGGGAAAUUUGAUUUCAUCCUUUGUUUUAAACAAGGAUACUGCAUUCAAUACGACUAUGUCUUCCGCUUCAGCGUGCGGCUGUAAUGACUGCCCUGUUGAUGUGCAUGGUAACUCAACAAGCAAAAUCACGGAGCCUGCGAAUUCGGCAAGGUAUCUUCUUAUGUCGAUUUUCCUAGCUUUUGAUGUUCUUGGAUUUUUGUGUACUGUAAUAUUUUUGCCUGCAAUUCAAAAAACACAAUGGGCAGAAAAAGCAAAUGGUAAGGAAUCCGUAACAGCCUGCUGCUCUGUCCUACGCACAGAUCCUAAGCUUGUCUUUCUUCUGCCCCUGUUUUCCAUUGUUGCAAUGCAAAAAGCCGUUGUAUGGACAGAUUUUACAAAGUCAUACGCCAGUUGCACAUUUGGGAUACAUAUGGUAGGCUUCGUGAUGGCCAGUUAUGGAUGUGCCACCACCGCCAGUGCCAUUGUGACGUCACGGAUAGCCAAAUACACGGGACGUUACGUGCUUUUCGCCACUGCUGUUGCCAUUGAUUUGACCAUAUUUAUUGUUUUAUAUUUCUGGGCUCCGACAGCAGACCAAGAGGUUCACUUGUUUUCCAUGGCUGUCGUGUGGGGUUUGGGCGAAGGAAUUUGGGCAACACAAUUCAAUGCAUUGAUAGCGCUACUGUUCCCAGAGAGGACGGAAGCAGCCUUUGCCAACUACCACUGCACGAAGGCUGCUAGUUUUACUGUGUACUUCGUUAUCAGUUUAUACGUAUGCGUCAAAGUCAAGUUGUUGCUUGUCAUCGUUCUUCUGGUCGUUGGUUCGGCGAUGUACGCCGGUGUGGAGGUCCACGUGUACAGGAACAGACAUGUUGUGGAAAAGGAAAUACAAGUAGUCAACGUUGAGAAUAAUCCAGAAAAUAAUACAACUAGGCUAUGACGUCUCUGGUUUAACGAACGGAUACGUUUUUUCUGUAUUGAUAGAUAACGAAUUAUUGAUAAAAAGAAAAUCAGUGUAAAAAGUUGCACACACUUCAAGAGAUACUCUAAAUCUCUUCACAAAAAUAUGCGAGACAAGUAAUGCUUUGGUAACGAACAGCAUUGCCCUUUUUUAACGAGAGUCAAGCAGGCAAAUGCUUUUGUGUGAAUUUACCUCUGAUUACUAAGCUAUGUGGAACUUUUAGACUGUUUGCAAUCACAAAGCUGUAUGCAAAAUAUUCUUGUUAAAAUGAUGAUUGAUAAUGCUGG